AAACUCAAAUGAAUUGACGGGGGCCCGCACAAGCAGCGGAGCGUGUGGUUUAAUUCGAGGCUACACGAAGAACCUUACCUGGGUUUGACAUCACGGUGGUAGGGAACCGAAAGGGGACCGACCGCAAGGAGCCGUGACAGGUGCUGCAUGGCUGUCGUCAGCUCGUGUCGUGAGAUGUUCGGUUAAGUCCGAAAACGAGCGCAACCCUCGGGGGAAGUUACACGUGUCUGACCCGACUGCCUGCGAGAAGCAGGAGGAAGGUGGGGAUGACGUCAAGUCAGCAUGGCCUUUAUAUCCAGGGCUACACACACGCUACAAUGGGCAGUACAGUGGGAAGCGAAGCCGCGAGGCGGAGCGGAUCCAAAAAGCUGUUCUAAGUUCGGAUUGCAGGCUGCAACUCGCCUGCAUGAAGCUGGAGUUGCUAGUAACCGCAGGUCAGCGAUACUGCGGUGAAUACGUUCCCGGGCCUUGUACACACCGCCCGUCACGUCAUGGGAGCUGGUCACGCCUGAAGCCGAUGAGCGAACCGCAAGGGAGCAGUCGUCGAAGGCAGGGCUGGUGACUGGGACGAAGUCGUAACAAGGUAGCUGUAGCGGAAGCUGCGGCUGGAUCACCUCCUUUCUG
rnacentral:rRNA from 1 species